ensembl:lncRNA
CCAGUGAGAUAUACCUGCUGGAGCGCAUGCUACAGGUGGGUGUUGCUAUGGUGACCAGUGAGAUAUACCUGCUGGAGCGCAUGCUACAGGUGGGGGUUGCUAUGGUGACCAGUGAGCUGAGAUAAGGCAGGGCUUUACCUAGCAGAGACUUGUAGAUAACCUGUAGCCAGUGGGUUUGGCGACUAGUAUGAAGCGAGGGCCAACCAACCAGAGCGUACAGGUCACAAUGGUGGGUAGUAUAUGGGGCUUUGGUGACAAAACGGAUGGCACUGUAAUAGACUGCAUCCAGUUUGCUGAGUAGAGUGUUGGAGGCUAUUUUAUAGAUGACAUCACCGAAGUCGAGGAUCGGUAGGAUGGUCAGUUUUACGAGGGUAUGUUUGGCAGCAUGAGUGAAGGAUGCUUUGUUGAGAUAUAGGAAGCAGAUUCUAGAUUUAAUUUUGGACUGGAGAUGCUUAAUGUGAGUCUGGAAAGAGGAAUGGGCCAAAAUUCACCCAACUUAUUGUGGGAAGCUUGUGGAAGGCUACCCAAAAUGUUUGACCCGAGUUAAACAAUUUAAAGGCAAUGCUACCAAAUACUAAUUGAGUUUAUAUAAACUUCUGACCCACUGGGCAUGUGAUGAAAGAAAUAAAAGCUGAAUUAAAUAAUUCUCUACUAUUAUUCUAACAUUUCACAUUCUUAAAAAUGAAGUGGUGAUCCUAACUGACCAAAGACAGGGGAUUUUUACUAGGAUUAAAUGUCAGGAAUUGUGAAAAACUGAGUUUAAAGUUAUUUGGCUAAGGUGUAUGUAAACUUCUGACUUCAAUUGCAUGUGUACAUCUAAUAUGUGUGUAUAUAUAUAUAUAUAUGAAAGUUAAGUUAAUAAAU